rnacentral:rRNA from 1 species
GACAGAGGUGCCGAGCGUUAGGCGGAAUCACUGGGCUUAAAGCGUGUGUAGGCGGGCCGUUAAGUACCUUGUGAAAUCCCCCGGCUCAACCGGGGAACGGCUGGGUAUACUGGCGGCCUUGAGGCACCCAGGGGCGAGCGGAACAGGCGGUGGAGCGGUGAAAUGCGUAGAUAUCGCCUGGAACGCCGACGGUGAAAACAGCUCGCUGGGGGUGUGCUGACGCUGAGGCACGAAAGCCAGGGGAGCGAACGGG